rnacentral:rRNA from 1 species
UGGGGAAUAUUGCACAAUGGGCGCAAGCCUGAUGCAGCCAUGCCGCGUGUAGGAAGAAGGCCUUCGGGUUGUAAAGUACUUUUAGCGGGGAGGAAGGUAGUAAAGUUAAUACCUUUGCUCAUUGACGUUACCGGCAGAAGAAGCACCGGCUAACUCCGUGCCAGCAGCCGCGGUAAUACGGAGGGUGCAAGCGUUAAUCGGAAUUACUGGGCGUAAAGCGCACGCAGGCGGUUUGUUAAGUCAGAUGUGAAAUCCCCGGGCUCAACCUUGGAACUGCAUCUAAUACUGGCAAUCUUGAGUAUCGUAGAGGGAGGUGGAAUUCCAGGUGUAGCGGUGAAAUGCGUAGAGAUCUGGAGGAAUACCGAUGGCGAAGGCGGCCCCCUGGACGAAGACUGACGCUCAGGUGCGAAAGCGUGGGGAGCAAACAGG